rnacentral:rRNA from 1 species
AUUGAACGCUGGCGGCAGGCCUAACACAUGCAAGUCGAGCGGAUGAAGGGAGCUUGCUCCUGGAUUCAGCGGCGGACGGGUGAGUAAUGCCUAGGAAUCUGCCUGGUAGUGGGGGAUAACGUCCGGAAACGGGCGCUAAUACCGCAUACGUCCUGAGGGAGAAAGUGGGGGAUCUUCGGACCUCACGCUAUCAGAUGAGCCUAGGUCGGAUUAGCUAGUUGGUGGGGUAAAGGCCUACCAAGGCGACGAUCCGUAACUGGUCUGAGAGGAUGAUCAGUCACACUGGAACUGAGACACGGUCCAGACUCCUACGGGAGGCACCAGUGGGGAAUAUUGGACAAUGGGCGAAAGCCUGAUCCAGCCAUGCCGCGUGUGUGAAGAAGGUCUUCGGAUUGUAAAGCACUUUAAGUUGGGAGGAAGGGCAGUAAGUUAAUACCUUGCUGUUUUGACGUUACCAACAGAAUAAGCACCGGCUAACUUCGUG